rnacentral:rRNA from 1 species
AGGAGAGUUUGAUCCUGGCUCAGGAUGAACGCUAGCGGCAGGCUUAACACAUGCAAGUCGAGGGGCAGCGGGGAGUAGCAAUACUCCGCCGGCGACCGGCAAAAGGGUGCGUAACGCGUGAGCAACUUGCCCGUAUCCGGGGCAUAAGCGGUGGAAACGCCGUCUAAUUUCCCAUAACAACAGAGGCCGCCUGACCUUUGUUUGAAAGAUUCGUCGGAUACGGAUAGGCUCGCGAGACAUUAGCUAGUCGGCGUGGUAACGGCACACCGAGGCGACGAUGUCUAGGGGUUCUGAGAGGAAGGUCCCCCACACUGGAACUGAGACACGGUCCAGACUCCUACGGGAGGCAGCAGUGAGGAAUAUUGGUCAAUGGGCGGAAGCCUGAACCAGCCAUGCCGCGUGAAGGAUUGAGGCCCUAUGGGUCGUAAACUUCUUUUGUGGUGGAGCAAUAAGUGUUACGCGUAACACGAUGAGAGUACAUCACGAAUAAGCAUCGGCUAACUCCGUGCCAGCAGCCGCGGUAAUACGGAGGAUGCAAGCGUUAUCCGGAUUUAUUGGGUUUAAAGGGUGCGUAGGCUGUUCGGAAAGUCAGGGGUGAAAGCCCGGCGCUUAACGCCGGAACUGCCUUUGAUACUUCCGAGCUGGAAUACGGAUGCCGUGGGAGGAAUGAGUAGUGUAGCGGUGAAAUGCAUAGAUAUUACUCAGAACACCGAUUGCGAAGGCAUCUCACGAAUCCGUCAUUGACGCUGAGGCACGAAAGCGUGGGGAUCAAACAGGAUUAGAUACCCUGGUAGUCCCCU